rnacentral:rRNA from 1 species
AUUGAACGCUGGCGGCAUGCCUUACACAUGCAAGUCGAACGGUAACAGGUCUUCGGAUGCUGACGAGUGGCGAACGGGUGAGUAAUACAUCGGAACGUGCCCGAUCGUGGGGGAUAACGGAGCGAAAGCUUUGCUAAUACCGCAUACGAUCUACGGAUGAAAGCAGGGGACCGCAAGGCCUUGCGCGAACGGAGCGGCCGAUGGCAGAUUAGGUAGUUGGUGGGAUAAAAGCUUACCAAGCCGACGAUCUGUAGCUGGUCUGAGAGGACGACCAGCCACACUGGGACUGAGACACGGCCCAGACUCCUACGGGAGGCAGCAGUGGGGAAUUUUGGACAAUGGGCGCAAGCCCGAUCCAGCAAUGCCGCGUGCAGGAUGAAGGCCUUCGGGUUGUAAACUGCUUUUGUACGGAACGAAAAGGCUCUGGUUAAUACCUGGGGCUCAUGACGGUACCGUAAGAAUAAGCACCGGCUAACUACGUGCCAGCAGCCGCAGUAAUAC